rnacentral:rRNA from 1 species
UACGGAGGGUGCAAACGUUGCUCGGAAUCAUUGGGCGUAAAGCGCACGUAGGCGGCCGACUAAGUCGGGUGUGAAAGCCCAGGGCUCAACCCUGGAAGUGCACUCGAAACUGGCCGGCUUGAAUAUGGAAGAGGGUCGCGGAAUUCCCGGUGUAGAGGUGAAAUGCGCAGAUAUCAGGAGGAACACCGAUUGCGAAGGCAGCUCGCUGGGACGUAACUGACGCUGAGACGCGAAAGCGUGGGGAGCAAACGGG